GGUUAAGCGACUAAGCGUACACGGUGGAUGCCCUGGCAGUCAGAGGCGAUGAAGGGCGUGCUAAUCUGCGAUAAGCGCCGGUAAGGUGAUAUGAACCGUUAUAACCGGCGAUACCCGAAUGGGGAAACCCAGUGUGAUUCGUCACACUAUCAUUAACUGAAUCCAUAGGUUAAUGAGGCGAACCGGGGGAACUGAAACAUCUAAGUACCCCGAGGAAAAGAAAUCAACCGAGAUUCCCCCAGUAGCGGCGAGCGAACGGGGAGGAGCCCAGAGCCUGAAUCAGCAUGUGUGUUAGUGGAAGCGUCUGGAAAGGCGCGCGAUACAGGGUGACAGCCCCGUACACAAAAGCGCAUGUGCUGUGAGCUCGAUGAGUAGGGCGGGACACGUGGUAUCCUGUCUGAAUAUGGGGGGACCAUCCUCCAAGGCUAAAUACUCCUGACUGACCGAUAGUGAACCAGUACCGUGAGGGAAAGGCGAAAAGAACCCCGGCGAGGGGAGUGAAAAAGAACCUGAAACCGUGUACGUACAAGCAGUGGGAGCACCCUUUGGGUGUGACUGCGUACCUUUUGUAUAAUGGGUCAGCGACUUAUAUUCUGUAGCAAGGUUAACCGAAUAGGGGAGCCGGAGGGAAACCGAGUCUUAACCGGGCGUUAAGUUGCAGGGUAUAGACCCGAAACCCGGUGAUCUAGCCAUGGGCAGGUUGAAGGUUGGGUAACACUAACUGGAGGACCGAACCGACUAAUGUUGAAAAAUUAGCGGAUGACCUGUGGCUGGGGGUGAAAGGCCAAUCAAACCGGGAGAUAGCUGGUUCUCCCCGAAAGCUAUUUAGGUAGCGCCUCGUGAAUUCAUCUCCGGGGGUAGAGCACUGUUUCGGCUAGGGGGCCAUCCCGGCUUACCAACCCGAUGCAAACUGCGAAUACCGGAGAAUGUUAUCACGGGAGACACACGGCGGGUGCUAACGUCCGUCGUGAAGAGGGAAACAACCCAGACCGCCAGCUAAGGUCCCAAAGUCAUGGUUAAGUGGGAAACGAUGUGGGAAGGCCCAGACAGCCAGGAUGUUGGCUUAGAAGCAGCCAUCAUUUAAAGAAAGCGUAAUAGCUCACUGGUCGAGUCGGCCUGCGCGGAAGAUGUAACGGGGCUAAACCAUGCACCGAAGCUGCGGCAGCGACACUGUGUGUUGUUGGGUA
rnacentral:rRNA from 1 species